rnacentral:rRNA from 1 species
CGUAGGGGCUAGCGUUGUCCGGAUUUAUUGGGCGUAAAGAGCGUGUAGGCGGCCGGGUAAGUCCGGUGUGAAAACUCGAGGCUUAACCUCGAGAUGUCAUCGGAAACUAUUCGGCUAGAGUCCGGAAGAGGAGAGUGGAAUUCCUGGUGUAGCGGUGAAAUGCGCAGAUAUCAGGAAGAACACCCAUGGCGAAAGCAGCUCUCUGGGACGGUACUGACGCUGAGACGCGAAAGCGUGGGGAGCGAACAGGAUUAGAUACCCUGGUAGUCCACGCCGUAAACGAUGGGUGCUAGGUGUGGGCGGUGUCGACUCCGUCCGUGCCGAAGCUAACGCAUUAAGCACCCCGCCUGGGGGAGUACGGCCGCAAGGACUA